AGAGUUUGAUCCUGGCUCAGGACGAACGCUGGCGGCGUGCCUAACACAUGCAAGUCGAACGGGGUGAGGCCCUUCGGGACCUUACCUAGUGGCGAACGGGUGAGUAACGCGUGAGGAACCUGCCUUUCAGUGGGGGACAACAGUUGGAAACGACUGCUAAUACCGCAUGAAGCUUUUGGGAGACAUCUCCUGGAAGCCAAAGCUUAAUGUGCUGAAAGAUGGCCUCGCGUCUGAUUAGCUAGUUGGUGGGGUAACGGCCCACCAAGGCGACGAUCAGUAGCCGGUCUGAGAGGAUGAACGGCCACAUUGGGACUGAGAUACGGCCCAGACUCCUACGGGAGGCAGCAGUGGGGAAUAUUGGGCAAUGGGCGAAAGCCUGACCCAGCAACGCCGCGUGAAGGAAGAAGGCCUUCGGGUUGUAAACUUCUUUUACCAGGGACGAAGGACGUGACGGUACCUGGAGAAAAAGCAACGGCUAACUACGUGCCAGCAGCCGCGGUAAUACGUAGGUUGCAAGCGUUGUCCGGAUUUACUGGGUGUAAAGGGCGUGUAGGCGGAGAUGCAAGUUAGGAGUGAAAUCUAUGGGCUCAACCCAUAAACUGCUUCUAAAACUGUAUCCCUUGAGUAUCGGAGAGGCAAGCGGAAUUCCUAGUGUAGCGGUGAAAUGCGUAGAUAUUAGGAGGAACACCAGUGGCGAAGGCGGCUUGCUGGACGACAACUGACGCUGAGGCGCGAAAGCGUGGGGAGCAAACAGGAUUAGAUACCCUGGUAGUCCACGCUGUAAACGAUGAAUACUAGGUGUGGGGGGACUGACCCCCUCCGUGCCGCAGUUAACACAAUAAGUAUUCCACCUGGGGAGUACGACCGCAAGGUUGAAACUCAAAGGAAUUGACGGGGGCCCGCACAAGCAGUGGAGUAUGUGGUUUAAUUCGACGCAACGCGAAGAACCUUACCAAGUCUUGACAUCCUGCGACGAUGCUGGAAACAGUAUUUUCCUUCGGGGCGCAGAGACAGGUGGUGCAUGGUUGUCGUCAGCUCGUGUCGUGAGAUGUUGGGUUAAGUCCCGCAACGAGCGCAACCCUUACUGUCAGUUACUACGCAAGAGGACUCUGGCAGGACUGCCGUUGACAAAACGGAGGAAGGUGGGGAUGACGUCAAAUCAUCAUGCCCUUUAUGACUUGGGCUACACACGUACUACAAUGGCGUUAAACAAAGAGAAGCAAGACCGCGAGGUGGAGCAAAACUCAGAAACAACGUCCCAGUUCGGACUGCAGGCUGCAACUCGCCUGCACGAAGUCGGAAUUGCUAGUAAUCGUGGAUCAGCAUGCCACGGUGAAUACGUUCCCGGGCCUUGUACACACCGCCCGUCACACCAUGAGAGCCGGGGGGACCCGAAGUCGGUAGUCUAACCGCAAGGAGGACGCCGCCGAAGGUAAAACUGGUGAUUGGGGUGAAGUCGUAACAAGGUA
rnacentral:rRNA from 1 species